ensembl:lncRNA
AUGUUGGGAGCUGGAAAUGUCUACUUUUUCCCAUUUCAACCCCCCAAACUAACCCCUGCUUUUCUCUUGCUGCUGCUGCUGCUGCUAGUGGUGGUGGCUGCUGCUGCUGUUGUUGUUGUUGUUGUUUUCCAGACCUGCAUAAUGAACUCUGGAAGAAAAGUGAGGGAACUCAAAAAAAUAAGAAAACUGAAACAAGGUCGCAAACCACAUGAUCUACAGGGGAGCCACCACUGCCUCCUGAAGAACCCCAGUCAGGAAUCCCAGAUUAAUUUCCCCAGCAUCCUGUUUGGAAACCACAUGUCCGCCCUGCAACUGUACCUGGCUUGUGUCCCACAAGGAGAAAGAUGCAGGGGCCUCCAGAAGCUAAAGAGGAUCUUCCAAAAGAAUUGGUGAACCAAGGUGUUAAACAGCCAGAUCCAUUCGGCUCCUGAGCUCUGGAGGGCUAGGACGCAGGGUAAAAGGACCCAGGGUCCCAGCACCUUUUACCAGCUUUCCUAGCCUGGCCCUUGAGACCCUGUUUGACAGGUUCCUGUCCACUGACCAGCCCAUCUCAAGUCAUCCUUGUGCCCUACCUUCAGUGCCUCUGGAUAAUCCCUCUGUGCCCUACCUUCAGUGCCUCCAAGCUCUGUCUCACCCACCUUGUGUCCUCUUGCCUGGGGAUCAACCCCUUCCUUUCCCCAGCUAACCCCUACUUCACCUAGCACAUUUCCAUGUGAAUUUCAAAGGCUAAGUGCAAGGAUUACAUUCCUCUGAACUGGUUGAGAUCUUUCAGGAUUCCUAUCCAUCCCCCAGUGUCCUGCCUAUUUAUCUCAAUUUAUGACACCCACACUUUCCCAAUAAUCCUGUUGUCUUUCUUGGUGUGGUUGUUGCUCCCUAUAAAUUGUCAUUAAAGAGGUUGGAUAGGAAUGAGCCUGCAGCCCACUACUAGAGACUUCUCUUCUAGAGGUCGACAUCGAUCCACCCAUCUUCAUGCUAAUGGCGGAAGGAUUAGAUGGUUUUCUAGUUAUUGAUUACUAUGGAACAAAUGACUUCAGACAUGCUGAUGAAAAAUGCCAACCAUUUUCUUCUGCUCACGGAUUCCUGAGUCAAGAAUCUGGACAGAGCACAGCUGGGAUGCCUCUUCGUUGGUUCAUGUUCAGGGCUUCUGCUGGGAAAAGUAGACAACAGGGGUGAGAGAAUGAACUGAGUGGUUAGGGGCUGGAAUUAUCUAGAGGCUUCUUCAUUCCAUGUCUGGUACCUACAUUGGAAGGACUCAAAGACUGAGCUGAGCGGGGACUGUCACGUGUUGAAUGACAUGUGUCCUCUCCACAUGGCUUGAGUUUCUCAAAGCAUGGCAGCUGGGUCACAAGAGUGAGUAUUCCAGGAGAACCAGACAGAAGCUGUGGGGUCUUUUAUGGCCAGGCUUCAGAAGUCAAAAAACAUUACUUUCUCCAUACCCUACUGAUCAAAGCAGUCACAAGACUGUCCUGAUUCAAGAGGAGGAGCAUAGGUCCCACUGCUGGAUGGGAGGAAUGUCUAACAAUUCUGUAACAGCCACAGCAGCACUGGAAGCCUACACCCAGAUGCAGAAUGACUUGGGAGUCCCUUUGAGUCAGGGCAUAGGCACUACCUGACAGGCUACUCAAUGGUGAUAAGUCAUCAAGAAUAAGCAGUGCUGAGAGGCCUCUGACAUUCCUGCAGAGAGGCUGGGGUAUAGGCCAGACUACCACGAUAAGGAUUGUCUAACAGAAUGAAGCCUCAAAGUGGAUACUCGGUCUCCUGAAAAAGGCAGAACCCCUAUUAUCACAACUGGAGCAUUCAGGAUGUCAGACCAGCAGUGUGUGACAUGAUGCCAUCACACAGGUUAGCUGAGCACCUUCAAUCCCUCCUCCUGUGAUCACAUGAGACCUUGUCAAAUGCCCAUGCUGAUAUUAAGAAAUACUAUAUAACAUAUUCCUGAUCCAACAAUUCAGUCAUUGCCUUUCAAAUGUGCAGAUUUUUUUGUUCGUUUGUUUGUUUUGUUUUUUUCUGAGUUUCAUGCUUGUUGCCCAGGCUGGAGCGCAACGGCGCGAUCUUGGCUCAUAGCAACCUCCGCCUCCCAUGUUCAAGUGAUUCUCCUGCCCCAGCCUCCCAAGUAGCUGGGAUUACAGGCAUGCACGACCACGCCCAGCUAAUUUUGUAUUUUUCUUAGAGAAGGGGUUUCUCCAUGUUGGUCAGACUGGUCUCAAACUCCUGACCUCAGGUGAUUUGCCCACCUCAGCCUCCCAAAGUGCUGGGAUUACAGGCAUGAGCCACCACGCCUGGCCUCAAAUAUGCAUCAUUAAUCAUCUCGACAGAUAUAUUUCCAGUGAUCAAUGUGGAUCUCACCAAACUGGGAAAGGAUUAGGAAGUAUACACAUCAAGAGGGAAACAGGAGAAAGCAAAUGGAGGCAGUCAUUAGAAUUAUUCCUGAGUUCCUCUAGAGAUGGUAGAAGGGAAGGGGGAUUCCAGGGCCAAGUGGUUCUAGGUGGUCUCAGCCUACCAGCUUUCAGCUCUUCAUUAGUGUCCCUUCAAGGCAAGACCCAUCUCUUUCAGAGAGCAAACAUUUACACUGGUCUAGGGUCACUGGAGGCCAUUUUACCUUGGAAGUAUCUGGGAGUUGGGAGUUGAUGAAGGGGCAGUACAGAACAAAUAGCUCAGAGAUGGUCUGGGAAAGAAUGAAGAAAGUAAAAUUGAUAUUUGUGGUGAGGGGUACAGCUUUUCCUGUGGAAGCAGGGCACUGUCACUGCUGUGAGUCAUCAAUUUCUGGGUCUCUGGCUCAGACAAUCUUAGAAGGCCAGAGCUGGGGGGUGCCUGUUCCAAGGUCCUCUAGUCCAACCCUCGCAUUUGAGAGAUGUGGAAACUGUUGCAGAGUCCAUUUGUGCCCACUGAAUAUCCAUGUGCUUCCCUGAAUUUUCCAGCCUUCCUUGCAGUUAGGUGAUUAAUUAUAGCCAAUGACACAUGUCAUCUCCAGGCCCAAACACUGAAGACAGGGUGUGCCUCCUCCAUCCCUCUUAUCCCCUGCCACUGUGACCAGACAGUCCUUGUACCCUAGAUGGCACACUUACAAGAUGGAGGAGGAUCUGCCCAUCCUCAUCAGAGCAGGAAAUACAAAGCUUCAUUCUGUGAAGCCACUGAAAACUGGGGGCUUAUUUGUCACUGCAGCAUGGCCUGGCUUAGCCUGACUACUAUGGAAAUUGAGGCAUAGAGAGGGGAAGUAUGGAUAUGAGUAGCCCUGAUAAUGUAUGUCAGAUCCCUGCUCAUUCAGGAAAGCAGAUCAAAACAGGUAACAUGGUAGGAUUUUCUGCUCUAGGGUGAUGAUCAUGCAGCAUUGAUCCUCUUGCUGUCAUGCUUUAUAAUUUACAAAAUCUAUUCAUGCCCAGAGUCAUACAGUGAAGGGAUAAGGGAGUCAAAACUAAAAUCCAGGGCUUCCCCCACUCACGGCCUGAUUGCCUAUGCUUUUAGAAUACUGAUAUCUUUUUAAAGGGUUAUAACUCUCUUUUAUCCUCCCCUCUCCAAAAAACAAAAACAAAAACAAAAAAAUCUGAUUGGCAUAUGCUUCUUUUUUCCCACAGGUUUAUUUCCAUAGAAUAUUUAUUUCAAUAUUUAAAUUUUGUCUUGAGAAGGCUCCAAUAGCCUGGAGAUCAUUGGAGGUACCCAAGGAGUCACAGGUACCAGGGCUGGGAAACUCCUCCCUCAUGGGGGAGAUCCCUGGCUGAGAGAAUCCCCUUGGUUGGUCCCCACAGAGGUACAGCACCCAUCGUCCCACUCAGACCAGCAAAUGAAGAAGUUGGAUGAGACCACAUCAAAGCAAGAUUUCUUCAAAAAAUCCAAAUCAGAUCCAGGUUCCUCUUCUUCAGACCACAUAGAGUGGGUGAAGGGUGCCUUCUGACUGCUUCCUCUUUCAACAAAAAGGGGAAUGGCUGUAGGCCUGAGGGUGGCCAUUUACGUCUGAGAGAAGGUGACAAGUUAAAGGCCAGGGUUGGGGACUCAGGCUCUCUGGAGCUCUGUGAUGUCCAAAUUGCAGCCUCUAUCACCGGGAACCCCAGCUCUCCUGAGAGGCCCAACCCCUCUGUAGCCCCCACCCUGGCUGCCCAGCCAGGCCCACCUGAUCUGAGAUGUCGCCUCUGACCUUCAUCUGCCCUCCCCUCCCUGUCAACAGCCAGAUGGGGAACCCACCCCUCAGGUCCCAUUUCCCCUCUGGCUCCUUCCUCCUGGGGCCUUCAUGGUCUGACUUCCAUCUUUACCUUGAUUCUAAAACUAUUCCAACCAAGGAUAUCACUGAAAUGCUAUUGCCCAAACAGAAAGACCUUAAGUUCAGGCCCCAUCACUUACAAGUUUGUAGCCUUCGUUCGGCAAGUUAUUUUCCUACUCUGGUCUCAGUUUUCUCACCUGUAAAACAAGAAUGAUAAUAACAGGACCUACCUCAUAGGGUUAUUGUAAGGACUAAAUGAGGUAAUGGGAGUAAAGCACUUAGUAAAAUGCCUGCUUCACAUAGUCUAUCAUGCGAUGAAUAUAAGUUAACAAUCCUUCAUCCAAAAUCCCUGGGGCCAGAAGCCGGCAUUUUUCCUUAUUUUAGGAGGUAAUAUGGUGCCUAGGCUGUCUUUAGUGUAUGUCCCCCAGUGGGUGCCAAGGCAGGGCCUCACAAUCAGACACAUUCAUGAUGCUGCAGUGACCAUGUCAACUUUCACUUGG